GACGUAGGGUGCGAGCGUUGUCCGGAAUUAUUGGGCGUAAAGAGCUCGUAGGCGGUGUGUCGCGUCGGCCGUGAAAACCUGUGGCUUAACUAUGGGCUUGCGGUCGAUACGGGCAUCACUGGAGUUCGGCAGGGGAGACUGGAAUUCCUGGUGUAGCGGUGAAAUGCGCAGAUAUCAGGAGGAACACCGGUGGCGAAGGCGGGUCUCUGGGCCGAUACUGACGCUGAGGAGCGAAAGCGUGGGGAGCGAACAGG
rnacentral:rRNA from 1 species